UUUCCCACCUCCUGUUGUGGAAAUAUUCACCAAAAUCGAGUCUGCGUUCGCUGAGAGGAAAUGCUCUCCAUCCCCGAACGCUCCCAAGGACGCCACAAUGACCACGUUCAUUUCGCCAGAACUCACCCACCUCCACCCCCACCCCUUCCAGGUCCCCCGUUCCCAACGGAGAGACCCCCCCAAACCCGGCAGAUCACAGCACUCAGGGACGGAGGCUCCUUAAUUAACAGCUAAUAGCCGAGAGGAACCGAGACGAGGGCGACAAGCGUAUCUCGCUGCCCCGAUCUGCUUUUGAUUAGGAAGAUUAAAACGCCGCUCCACUCAUUUCAUUAAAGAAAGGGACCUAUAACAAGUUUUUAUGAUUAAA